GGGCGUGUAGCUCAUUGGUAGAGCGAUUGUCUUAUAAACAAUAGGUACAUGGUUCGAUCCCAUGCACGCCCA
rnacentral:tRNA from 1 species